rnacentral:rRNA from 1 species
CCGGCACGGGUGAGUAACACGUAUCCAACCUGCCGUCUACUCUUGGACAGCCUUCUGAAAGGAAGAUUAAUACAAGAUGGCAUCAUGAGUCCACAUGUUCACAUGAUUAAAGGUAUUCCGGUAGACGAUGGGGAUGCGUUCCAUUAGGUAGUAGGCGGGGUAACGGCCCACCUAGUCUUCGAUGGAUAGGGGUUCUGAGAGGAAGGUCCCCCACAUUGGAACUGAGACACGGUCCAA